GGCAGGCGGCCGCACAUCUUUCUGGAAGGCGGCAAUUGGGAGAGACGGCGAGUGACGUAAUAACUGCGCGCUCACAGCUUCAGAGGGUCGCCGCCGCGUCUGCGCAUGGGGAGCUGGUUGCCGCUGCAGCCGCCUGGAAUUGUGGGGAUUGUGUCUGCCCCUCGGCUGGCGGGCGGGAAGCCGAAGAUGGAAGACUUGUCUUUGAAGUACGGAUUUCAGACUUCGGUGUUUUUCAAAUCACCUAGGAGGUUGUGUACAUCCCUGGCCUCUACUCAGUGAUUUCAUUUAAAGUGGAAUAUGGGCACCUGCAGUGCUCCCCAGUGUGUUGGUGCCCCAGGGAGCCAGGCUGCUGGGGAAAGCUCAUGUGGCACUCAGCCGUUCCAUUUUGUCGACGAAAAAAGAGAGGAGAAGCUGGCAGAAAGCAAAGGCUUUUGCUUCUGGGUGAGUGUAGCAGCUAUUUUUAGUGUCAAAGCCUUUGCUUUUCCAUUUGGCUAUGCUUUUUUAGCACAGUGCCGGUCCAGCAGGGCUGUUUUCCUUUAUGGCUCCAGAUGUCCUUAGGGAAAGUUUCCGUCUGCCUCUGAGAAGGUGUGGGCUGGGCAAGGGGGUAAUAACUUCUGAGAAUGGGUUCAGACAGGGCUUUAGGUCCACUGCAGUCCUGUUACAGGACCAAUUUCCUGUGGUGGAAUGCGGAGUAUGACAGGAAGAGCAAAGAGA